GGAGGUGACUACAACCACCUCUUCUGGAGCCAGGCCUCCUCAAGUAUGGCCAGCAGAGCACCCAUGAGGAGCAUGCAUCUGGCAGAAGGCCCUGAAAAACAGAGGACAUCCCACCAGGGCUGACCAGUACUCAUACAGAACCGAAGCUGGGAUCGAGCCCCUGCCAAUGCCUAACCUAUGACAAGGGCCAGCUGUGGCCUGGCAAGACCAUGGCAAUACUCUGUGAACAGGGGUCUGCUACAGACAUGAGAAUCAAGAACCUUGGCUCAUCAUUACAAGGGCAGCAUCCCCAGGUGGCCAGGGGUGGUGGAGGAGGACCCUUGAGAUGGGAAGGCUAACACUGAGCUCUUUUGUACAGCAUUCACCUCAUCAGCACUGUGACAGCAGCUGGUGUGGUGGAAACCACUUGCAGUUAACCUCCAAAUCAAAUGGAAACAUAAUGACAACACUGAUGACCAUGAAGUCAAAGACCACACCAAACUACUCAAGUGGUUCAAAUGCACUGAAACCAUAUAAUGGCUGAGCAAUUGAAAUACCAAAGGAGUAUGUAUGAAUGUGACCAAAGAAGGCAAUGCUAUAUCUACACAAGUUAUGGUGCCAGACCAUUAGACAUCAAAGGCUCCACAGUGCAGGCAUCCUACAAAGAAGAAGUCAGCACGAUUUUUCCAGGAGCUCACUUCACUAUUCCAACAAUAAUAAUGACUUGUGCCUUUGAUCCAGAUUGCCAAAGCACUUUGUUCUCUGAUUGAGAAAUUACACAUAAAAUAGGAUUCAAUUUGCCCAUCACUGGCACAGGCUGGGAGAGUCAGACUCUAAUAAUAUUUAGCAGCUUAAAAAAACAACAGUUUAUCUACAUUAAAUCAAAGAGAUAAUGUAAAGCUCAGAGAAUUAAAUGUAUGAUCGCCUAAUAGUAGCUAAUGGUGCUAACAAUGUGAAAAGUUAUGUAGGAUCUUAAAUAAUGGUGAGUGUCCAGGACAUCACAGAGAGUCCCAAGAAGUGGCAGAGAGCAUUAGUACUCACCUUGGAAAAGCAUGAAUUCACCUGAGCUGGAUCAUCCCCAUUUGAUAUGCAGCAACCUGCAGCUUAGUUCCACCAGGGACAUGCCAGUAGGGCAGUGCCAGUGAGACUUUGGCCCUGAUGACUGGAAGCCCUCCAAGUUGCCUCCAAAAGCCUGAGACAAGGAAAUGUGGAAGAAAGAAUUAAAACUAAGCUGACAAGGAGGAACCAAAGAUCAAUAAAACAAAAUGGAUCUAAAUAAAGUAAUUACA
rnacentral:lncRNA from 1 species